CGGGUGAGUAACACGUGAGUAACCUGCCUCUGAGAGUGGGAUAGCUUCUGGAAACGGAUGGUAAUACCGCAUAACAUCAUGGAUUCGCAUGUUUCUAUGAUCAAAGAUUUAUCGCUCAGAGAUGGACUCGCGUCUGAUUAGCUAGUUGGUAAGGUAACGGCUUACCAAGGCGACGAUCAGUAGCCGGACUGAGAGGUUGAUCGGCCACAUUGGGACUGAGACACGGCCCAGACUCCUACGGGAGGCAGCAGUGGGGAAUAUUGCACAAUGGGGGAAACCCUGAUGCAGCGAUGCCGCGUGGAGGAAGAAGGUUUUCGGAUUGUAAACUCCUGUUGAAGAGGACGAUAAUGACGGUACUCUUUUAGAAAGCUCCGGCUAACUACGUGCCAGCAGCCGCGGUAAUACGUAGGGAGCGAGCGUUGUCCGGAAUUACUGGGUGUAAAGGGAGCGUAGGCGGGAUGGCAAGUCAGAUGUGAAAACUAUGGGCUCAACCCAUAGACUGCAUUUGAAACUGUUGUUCUUGAGUGAGGUAGAGGUAAGCGGAAUUCCUGGUGUAGCGGUGAAAUGCGUAGAGAUCAGGAGGAACAUCGGUGGCGAAGGCGGCUUA
rnacentral:rRNA from 1 species